rnacentral:rRNA from 1 species
AUACGGAGGAUCCGAGCGUUAUCCGGAUUUAUUGGGUUUAAAGGGAGCGUAGGUGGAUUGUUAAGUCAGUUGUGAAAGUUUGCGGCUCAACCGUAAAAUUGCAGUUGAAACUGGCAGUCUUGAGUACAGUAGAGGAGGGCGGAAUUCGUGGUGUAGCGGUGAAAUGCUUUGAUAUCACGAAGAACUCCGAUUGCGAAGGCAGCUCACUAGACUGCAACUGACACUGAUGCUCGAAAGUGUGGGUAUCAAACAGGAUUAGAUACCCUGGUAGUCCACACAGUAAACGAUGAAUACUCGCUGUUUGCGAUAUACAGUAAGCGGCCAAGCGAAAGCAUUAAGUAUUCCACCUGGGGAGUACGCCGGCAACGGUGAAACUCAAAUGAAUUGACGGGG